GACGAACGCUGGCGGCGUGCUUAACACAUGCAAGUCGAACGAUGAAGAAGAGAAACGCGAACUUCGGUUCAACUUUCACUUCGGAUUAGUGGCAGACGGGUGAGUAACGCGUGAGCAACCUACCUCUUACAAAGGGAUAGCCUCGGGAAACCGUGAUUAAUACCAUAUGACACAUUCAUAAGGCAUCUUAAGAAUGUUAAAGCUACGGCGGUAAGAGAUGGGCUCGCGUCCCAUUAGCUAGUUGGUGAGGUAACGGCCCACCAAGGCGACGAUGGGUAACCGGCCUGAGAGGGUGAACGGUCACAUUGGAACUGAGACCCGGUCCAAACUCCUACGGGAGGCAGCAGUGGGGAAUAUUGCACAAUGGAGGGAACUCUGAUGCAGCGACGCCGCGUGAGCGAUGAAGGAAUUCGUUUCGUAAAGCUCUGUUCUAUGGGAAGAAAAGGACUGUACCAUAGGAGAAAGCCCCGGCUAAAUACGUG
rnacentral:rRNA from 1 species